rnacentral:rRNA from 1 species
GAUGAACGCUGGCGGCGUGCCUAAUACAUGCAAGUCGAGCGAACAGAUGAGGAGCUUGCUCCUCUGACGUUAGCGGCGGACGGGUGAGUAACACGUGGAUAACCUACCUAUAAGACUGGGAUAACUUCGGGAAACCGGAGCUAAUACCGGAUAAUAUAUUGAACCGCAUGGUUCAAUAGUGAAAGACGGUUUUGCUGUCACUUAUAGAUGGAUCCGCGCCGCAUUAGCUAGUUGGUAAGGUAACGGCUUACCAAGGCAACGAUGCGUAGCCGACCUGAGAGGGGGAUCGGCCACACUGGAACUGAGACACGGUCCAGAAUCCUACGGGAGGCAGCAGUAGGGAAUCUGCCGCAAUGGGCGAAAGCUUGACGGAGCAACGCCGCGUGAGUGAUGAAGGUCUUCGGAUCGUAAAACUCUGUUAUUAGGGAAGAACAAAUGUGUAAGUAACUAUGCACGUCUUGACGGUACCUAAUCAGAAAGCCACGGCUAACUACGU